UAGAGCUUUCUGUUUAUAUGCAAAGCCAAUCGUUUGUGCUGCCACUCGGUGGCCCCCACCGCCACUGCCGCUUUGCAGCGCGGUUCGUUGGCAGCUGUUGCGCUCUGGGAGGGGAGAGCCGUGCGUUUUCACCGUGCGCCACAACUGCCAGUUUUGCACGGCUCAUAGGAACACCCCAGGGCAGGGGGAGCGCCCACGGCCGUUAGCCCGACUCUGCGGGAUCCCGCUCCCCCAGCAAACGGAACGGCGAAUGGCGUGACGCUCACCGGGGGGAAGGAAGUCUGCGUCGAUCUCCAGGGGAUACAGCUGGCCACGUGCAAAAGAAAAACAAAAAAAAUCCCUUAAAGGCCCCCGGACUGCACCUGUGAAAAGCCGCCGCUGGCGCUGAGCCCAGCCUGACGCCCCACGUUGCGUGGACGGAGCGACGUGCCCAGUGCGCGGUUUGGAGAAACUAUUUUCCAGCCCUGUUUAUUUAAGGCAACCCCCUCCCGUCUCCUCCACCCUCCGGUGUCCCUGUCCCCGUGGUCCCUGCGAUGGGGAAGGGACCUGUCAAAGCCACUGUCAGUCCUUACAGAUACAAUAAAGUCCAGUGUUU